rnacentral:rRNA from 1 species
GACGAACGCUGGCGGCGUGCCUAACACAUGCAAGUCGAACGGAGUAAGUGGCAAUACUUACUUAGUGGCGAACGGGUGAGUAACGCGUAGACAACCUGCCUCUAAAAUGGGGACAACACCGCGAAAGUGGUGCUAAUACCGAAUGUGGUAUCUUGGCUGCAUGGUCAAGAUAAGAAAGAUGGCCUCUGAAUAUGCUAUCGUUUAGAGGUGGGUCUGCGUCUGAUUAGCUAGUUGGUGAGGUAAAGGCUCACCAAGGCGACGAUCAGUAGCCGGUCUGAGAGGAUGAACGGCCACACUGGGACUGAGACACGGCCCAGACUCCUACGGGAGGCAGCAGUGGGGAAUCUUCCGCAAUGGACGAAAGUCUGACGGAGCAACGCCGCGUGAGUGAAGAAGGCCUUCGGGUCGUAAAGCUCUGUCGUUUGGGACGAACGUGCUAUGUGUGAAUAAUGCAUAGUAAUGACGGUACCAAAGGAGGAAGUCACGGCUAACUACGUG